rnacentral:sRNA from 1 species
GCGGCCGCGGGCGCCGCCGCAGCCAUGAGCGGCAGCAGCGGCGGCGCCGCCGCCCCCGCCGCGUCCUCCGGCCCUGCAGCGGCGGCCAGCGCGGCUGGAUCGGGCUGCGGGGGCGGUGCCGGCGAGGGGGCAGAGGAGGCGGCCAAGGACCUGGCCGACAUCGCGGCCUUCUUCCGAUCCGGGUUUCGAAAAAACGAUGAAAUGAAAGCUAUGGAUGUUUUGCCAAUUUUGAAGGAAAAAGUUGCAUACCUUUCAGGUGGUAGAGAUAAACGUGGAGGUCCCAUUUUAACGUUUCCGGCCCGCAGCAAUCAUGACAGAAUACGACAGGAGGAUCUCAGGAGACUCAUUUCCUAUCUAGCCUGUAUUCCCAGCGAGGAGGUCUGCAAGCGUGGCUUCACGGUGAUCGUGGACAUGCGUGGGUCCAAAUGGGACUCCAUCAAGCCCCUGCUAAAGAUCCUGCAGGAGUCCUUCCCUUGCUGCAUCCAUGUGGCCCUGAUCAUCAAGCCAGACAACUUCUGGCAGAAACAGAGGACUAAUUUUGGCAGUUCUAAAUUUGAAUUUGAGACAAAUAUGGUCUCUUUAGAAGGCCUUACCAAAGUAGUUGAUCCUUCUCAGCUAACUCCUGAGUUUGAUGGCUGCCUGGAAUACAACCACGAAGAAUGGAUUGAAAUCAGAGUUGCUUUUGAAGACUACAUUAGCAAUGCCACCCACAUGCUGUCUCGGCUGGAGGAACUUC